AUAGAAUACACAAAUGACAAUUUCAAACUUCACAUGGAAACUUGAAUUUUUGACCUAGGAGAUGCAGCAUUUCAACUGCUCAAGAACAUUGUUCCUGCUCUUCACAGCCCUUCAUAACAGCUCUUUACAAGGAAGAAAAAUAUCUUGUUGUAUUUUAAAUAGCAGUCUUCAAGGAUCCCUUUAUCUAUUAUGUCUUUGGCAAGUUUGAGAACAUCUAUUGACUAACUGGACAAUAUGCAAAUUACCAUAGCCUAAUUAAGUAAUUCAGAAGUGGGCCCACUGACUUCAAAAUAAAGUGAUUUCAAAGUAAAGGAAUUUAGCAUUCUGAACUUCUGAAUACCUUUGAAAUAGGAAGCACCUAGUGAGAGAACUUCACAACACAAGCUUCUGGUAUUACCUUUAUUUCAAUCAAUCCACAUAGAAAUAAAUUGCCACAGCUUUUAAGAAACUUCUGUUGAACCAAUGGCUAGAUUGUUUAAGCGUGAUCAUUGAAGAUGUAAUCAUCUGAGUCACUGUUUCAAUUCAAGCCAAAAACAUCACUCAGUUGUCCUAUGUAAUCUUAUGUGAAGUCAAUAAUCAUCCACUCAACAGAUCAGCUCUGAUGCCUUGCACAUCCCUUGCUGGUUUCCUCUCUGUAAAAGAAAAGCUUUAUUUAAUUUGCAGUCAGCAUCAAAUACCUGAAUGAAGUUAAGUGGCCUAAGAUUGAACUAUAUGAAGAAGCUACAUGACAUUAACCUUAAAUCAAAGGCAUUUCUCAAUAAGUAUUACAUUUCUACAGGACAGGAUUUUCCUUGCCCAUACCAUUUAUACACAUUCCAGUUCAGGGCAAGUCUAGGAAGAAAAAACAGGUCCACUUUCCCAGAUGUUAUUUAAUUUAGUUUGGCUGAUCUACAUAAAAUCAGUUUUAAAAAUUCUAGAUUUCCACAGAGGUUUCCAGUAGUCCAAACUGGUUUCAAGAGAUUUUUUGUUUGUUUGUUUAUUUAACUUUCAGGUAAGCAAUAAUUUAAGCUGCUUAGCUAGAGACAACACAACCCCAUCCACUCAGGUCUGAUAAGCCUUUUUAUACUACAUACCCGGAGACUUAUCAAUUCACAAGGAACUCUUGUGACUCCACAUUGUUUAUUGCCAUCUCACAAAGCAUAUUCUAGGUGGUCAAGGAGUACCAACACACUUGAGGACUCUGAAAACUGGAAAAGAUUAAUGUGAAACAGAAUUAGAUAACACGAUCAUCAGAUGACUUCUCAAAUUCUAGAAGCUUCUUUGAAUGCAAUAAAUAACUUUCUGAAACUCAUGAAAGUGGUUUUAUGGUUUCAUUAACAUGUUCCUCUCAGCGUGAUCCAAAGAAGAGUUUCAGCCUCACCUCUGGGUUUGAGAGAGAACUGUUAUACCCCUCCGUACUGGCCACUUAAGACACUGACAGACUUAAGAGGGCAAAGCUAAAAAGGGGAGUAGAUCAUACUAACUUGUUUUUAAGAUUAUUUGCAUUUACCAUUUACUCAAACUAGAUAACGUACUCGAAACUCAUGAAUUACCAAAAAGAAUGACUUAAAAUGGCCAAUAAAUCAUCAUACUAGGAAGCACUUACCUUCUUAAUAGAAGGUAUUAUUCAUUCCUAAGGAAUCCUGAGAACUGCUUUCAAUUUAGGUGUGAUCAUCCAUUUCCAGGCUGCUCCAAUCAUGAAACUGCUAAGUGACCCCUAAACAGCACAAAUUAUUACAGUGUAAGUUUUCAGAAGUCACUUAUGAACUUCAUCAUCAAAUAUCUAGAGCAAGGUGUAGACGGUUUAAUCAGAUGGAUGAGAAUAUCCUUUCCUAAUAUGGCCAUUUAAGCUAAAUAGGACAUAUCUUCUUAAUAUCUCUGAAUACGCUGCUAAACAGGAAGCCUACAUUACUUCUAGUGCCACUACCCCGAAGUUGGGAGUUCCCAGCUUUAUGAGAAGCCUUAACUGGCUAAUUUGUUUCCACCGUGUACCUACUUGCUAUACCUUGCAACAAAUUACAGGCAGAGGAACGACUGGGAGGCACCAAAAGCUACAGUAGCAGACAGAAGAGCAGGCCGGGCCUACGGAAAACUACUGCAGAGGCAAAGCAACGACGCUCAGCGCACGACCUGCGAGACUCGAAGGGAACAGAGGAAGGCUCACGCUGAGCCGGCACGCCCCUUACCUGCCGGCAUCAGCACACGCGGCUCCAGCCCCAGCAUGCCCACGGCAGCGGCCGCCCGGGGCGGGGAGCAACCAGCCGGGCACCCGGCGGGCAGAGCCACGGAAGGCAUCGGGAGGCCGUGCGGGGACCUCGGGGCGGGUUCAGCCCAGGGUUGGAGCUGCGGAAGGAGAGAGAAGUCAGCGUGGGAGUGGGUCUUUUCUGAAGAGUGGCAAAUUACUUCCAUGGCUAUGAAGUUUGGUCGUCUCAACAAUACACAACGGUUAGAACUCAAAUGGUGCUUUUUUUUCAGCUGAAAGCACAGUUGGUAUAGAAUUGGAGAAAAAAAGUGGGUAGAAGCUGCUGUAAAGCUGAUACCAUCUUGGAGAAGGAAGCUGGGGCUUUUAUUGGACUAAGGGACCCUCAGAGACCCCUCCACGUUUGUUUUCCAUGGUCUGCCAUGAACUUUUUAUAGACCACGACACACUUCUAUCAUUAGAACUCCGGAAGUCAAUAGAAUGUCUCCUGUGGACCUGUUAGGAAGUUCAGCCCAUGGGCUGCAAGCUGGCAUUUGGCACUGUACUAAAGCUCCCAAUCUGUUCUACAAUGGGAGCCAAGCUUCAUGGAAAAUAUCUGUUGUUAACUUUAGAAAGGGAUUAUCAUGGGAUUUUCUACUCCGUCCUCUCUUUUCGUUGGAUAUAGCAUUGGAAAGUAGAAUUGUUCAGCUUUGCAGCAGUCCCCACAUAGGUGAAUUCCUACUACUGUGACAGCCCAAAGAGCUGAUCUUUCUCACUGAAGUUAAUGAUGAGUCGUACUAAAAGCUGAAGGCAUUUUGUAGCCCAAAUAAGGUCAAAUAGUGUUGGCCUAGUGUUUAUACAACGUGUGACUGUCUUACCUUGCAGAAAAAUGGAAUGCCAAUCAUAUUUGUAUCUCAAGAAUAAAAAUUCAAAGCUGUGGGAACAAGUGUCACUGAAGUUUCCUUCUUCUCAACAGAAAUCAACUUAAAAAACAGUAGUCUCAGUAAUCCAAGUGGUUUGUUAUGUAUGUGCCCUUAGUGCUCAUGCUUCUAUCAGCAUUCUUGUUCAUGCUUUUAAAUCUACAGUGAUCAUUUUCAUAGAACAAAUGUUGUGAUACGUGAAGGAUCAUAAAGCG
ensembl:lncRNA